UUUUGCAAAAGGGACACAGACUGACUUGGGAAAAUUAAUGCAGCCAAGCUUGAGCUGUUUUUUUGGAGUGUUUCUGGUCUUCGGCUGGAUCGUGCUGUGAGCUUUAUCUAAUGUAAAGGCAAAGCGGGAACUUGGGAGGUUUCUUUGAUAGAGAGGCAGCUGAGAGAAAGUUGGUGACCGCUGACCAGAGGCACCACAGAGCUCCAGCAGUCCAGGGCAGGGUGACAGGAGACAACACGCCAAGGGGAGGAAGGGGAGUCGCUCAUCUGUGUCUGCACCCAGGACAGCUCCCGUGGUGGCCGUUCUAAGGUGUCCCCGUGGGCUCUAAGAAAUAUCUGUUGCAUGAACAGCACAGCCAGAAGAGCAGUUGCAGCACCGCCACAGACGUAAUGCAAUCUUCUAACUGAAGGAGAAUAGCAGGAGGACUGAGGUCACCAGUCUCCAUGGUGCCCCACAGAUGCUGACCCCUGGUGCUCACACCUCCCACACAGACUCGGUCUUCCCUUGUAAGACCAAUGGAAUGAAUGCCCAUCAUAG